AACGAACGCUGGCGGCAUGCCUAACACAUGCAAGUCGAACGAGACCUUCGGGUCUAGUGGCGCACGGGUGCGUAACGCGUGGGAACCUGCCCUUAGGUUCGGAAUAACUCCCCGAAAGGGGUGCUAAUACCGGAUAAUGUCUUCGGACCAAAGAUUUAUCGACUUUGGAUGGGCCCGCGUUGGAUUAGCUAGUUGGUAGGGUAAAAGCCUACCAAGGCGACGAUCCAUAGCUGGUCUGAGAGGAUGAUCAGCCACACUGGGACUGAGACACAGACCAGACUCCUACGGGAGGCAGCAGUGGGGAAUAUUGGAAGGGGGGGGGAAGCCUGAUCCAGCAAUGCCGCGUGAGUGAUGAAGGCCUUAGGGAUGUAAAGCUCUUUUACCCGGGAUGAUAAUGACAGUACCGGAAGAAUAAGCUCCGGCUAACUCCGUG
rnacentral:rRNA from 1 species